rnacentral:misc_RNA from 1 species
CGAUUAGUGUUGUCCCCCCGAG